CGGCCAAAUCUUCGUAUCGCUCUGCUCAAAGGAAAAAAAAAAUCACACGCACUCCCAUCCCAUCGUCUUGUCUAGACAACACACUCCUAUCGUCUUCUCCGCAGAGCUCUGCCCUGCACCACCACGGCCUAGCCCCGCCCCCUCCUCUCCCAUGGCCCCAGAUCGACGCCCACCACGGCGUAACCCCGCCUCCUCCUCUCCCAUAGCCCCAGAUCGACGUCGCCCAGUCCCGCCACGGCAUCACCCCGCCGCCUCUUGUCUCACGGCUCUAGAUCGACGCCGCUGCCGCCGGUCGGCCCUAGGUCAACUUAGACGCCUCCGUCCCUAUGUACCCGUGCAGACCAAGACGGCCGCGUCUCUCCUGGGUCGCGGUGAAGCAGUUUUAUCGCGACCGCGGUGGGCCAGACGCGGCUUUGAUUGGGUAUGUGCUUGGGCACGGGAGAGGCAACCGGCGACGGGGUAGGCGAGCAUGUCGACGUUGCGGAGUUCGCUGCAAGAUAUGCGUUUCUCUCCAAUAGAGUCGAAAUAGCUGCAAUGUUUGGAGUGGACGGUAUCUACAUUGAGUUAAUAUACGAACCUCCACUCAACCAUCUAGAUUGGGAGUUUUGUUUCUCCAGCUAUUAUCUGUAGACUGCAUUGCUAUCUAUAGCUAAUUGGCUAUAUCUAUCAAGGUUAUUUUCUUAUGGGGCUUAAUUAUUGAACUACAAUGUAUGACUCAGUGCAACUAAAUUACCUGAGGUUGCUUCCCGUGAAGGUUAGUACAUACAAUCUAAAUUUCCCUAAGAACUCUUUUAGUUAUUAUAAUAUGUUGUGGUAUAAAAUUAAUUGGAUUACUUUUGCAGGAAGAAGUUUUAAUUUCAUUAUUCAUGAAUAUCAUAAUAAAUAGCUCAAUCCGUAUUAUAAUUUGUUUGCCAAUUGUUUUCUAUUGAAUGAAUUACAUGCAAGGCUUGCAGUUUAAUUUGAUAUACUGAUGUGCUUCUUAUCGCUUCCUGCCAUCAAGAAAGAAAUAGCUAGUGAUUCUAAAAUGGUACAUGUUAGUUAAAUGCUCCACCAUUUAAUAUUUUUAUGUCAUCACAAAUAUUUCACUUGUAAACAUAAAAUGCACAUAAAUUUGCAUUUAAUACAAAAUUCAAAUAUGUUUGCCUCCAUUACAUUUGGAAGAAUAAUAGCCAUCAAGGAAUUUGCUCGAAUCUGGUAGGGCGAGUUCAAGUGCUAAGGACUUCCUUGUAGACUAUGUUCAGCGUGGUCGUUACCAAGGAAUCGGUUCUUUUUCUUUUCUUUGAAUUAUUGGUCUUGUCCUUUCCAUUGUCCUUGAUGGCUAGGAUCUUGAUGUUACUUUUCGCGGUGGCUCUGGACAACGCGACAUACAACUGGCCAUGAGAGAAUACCGGCUCCGGUAAGUAAACACCCACAGUUGGGAUGGUCUGCCCUUGCGCCUUGUUGAUCGUCAUGGCAAAACUGAGCCUGAUCGGGAACUGCUUCCUCUUGAAUCUAAACGGGAACAUUUCAUCGUCGGAUGGGCAUAGAGGUAUCCGAGGAAGAAACACCCUCUCCCCCGCGUGCUGUCCCACGACAAUCUCUGCGUCAAUGGCGUUACUUUGGAACCCACGGACCACAAGCCUUGUGCCGUUACAUAGCCCGUUAGCUGGGUCGAUAUUUCUCAACAAUAUAACUGGGCAAUUUAUCUUUAGUUUAAGCGCGUGUGGGGGGAGCCCAUUGGGAGUUAGGUCAUUCAGGAACUCUUGAGGAUAGUAGCCAUGUGGAUCGUCCUCCGCGCUAUCGAAGCUAUAGUAGAUUGUCUCCUCUCCCUGAAAACGCUCAAUCAUGUGCAUAUUUAUUCCAUCGACACUAUCGUUCCUUGUGGAGAGGAUCGCUCGAGAAGUCAUGUAAUCCGGAUUUUCCAUGUUAUGGUCUAGGGAAGAAAACACGUGGUCGAUCAGCUUCUUUAUAUCAGCUACGUCAUUGCCUGUAGAUGACACACAUAUAUCUUCAGGAAGCUGGAUGUUUCCGUCCUCGUCAGUUUCCUCGGUGCCGUUACCUACCCUCAGGAGGUAAUCCGCGAACCAUCGAUCGUUUUGCGCCCUCAUGUUCUUGACGAGCCUUAGCUGGCGCAUGCCUUUCCAGAGUUUCGAGCUCCGUAGACUUGCAUCUAUUAUCUGACCUCAUGACCCUUUCCUCACUACCGGAAGGACCUGCCUGAAGUCUCCACCGAACACGACAGUCUUGCCCCCAAAUGGCCGGUCUGGGCAUUCCAUGAUGUCUCGCAUGCUUAUGUCUAACGCCUCAAUUGCCUGUCGUUUUGUCAUGGUUGCCUCGUCCCAUAAAAUGAGCGAAGCCAUCCUCAGGAGCUUGGCUGUCCCACUCUGCUUAGUGAAGCUGCAUGAUUUUCCUUCUUCAAGGUUUAGUGGGAUCUUGAACCUUGAGUGUGCUGUCCUGCCUCCUGGCAUGAUGGAAGCGGCGACUCCUGACGUCGCUGUGGCCAACGCGAUCUUUUUCUCUCCUCGAACCCUAGCGAGCAGUGCUCUGUAAAGGUAGGUCUUCCCUGUGCCUCCUGGGCCAUCCACGAAGAAUACGCCCCCAUUUCCGCCAUCAACUGCCGCUAGUAUUUCGUCGUAGGCAAGCCUCUGCUCGUGGUUUAAUGAGGUCGCUAGAGCAGCGUCUUCCUUAUCUACUUGGAUAUUGGUUUCCUCGAUGACCUCCCUAACCUCGCCAUCUGUGUUGUCAUAGGUCUCGUCAAUGUCUGGUAGAGGGAACGAUUUUAUGUCUUUGCCCAUUGAUUGCAGCAUGCCCCUGAUAUCAAGCAACACCUUUUGCUCCACUGCUUUUGGGCAUGUUUGUUUGCGUCGGUAGUCGUCAGACAUCGCCUCAAGGUGCCUAUCCCAAAGGCCGCGCACAUCUCCAGGCUCGCAGAAUACCAAGAUCGUUGCGAAGAGCCUCCUGAGUGAGGCUGGCAUGGCGAACUGCUCUGAUUCGGUAAGACACUCGUCGAGCGUGUUGUCGGCCUCGAUGAGGCCCCUCCUCUCGGCGGCUUCACGAAAGCUAGCACAUAGCACACCGUUCACUGUUUUGAGAUCUUCGAAGGACCUUGAGCCUGGUACGUGAUUUAGAAGCACCCUUAGGAAGUAUCUUUCCCCCUCGGCAGGAUGGGCUGAUAUGAUUCGGCCUACUUGUUGGCCCUUGUCCCUUUUCUUCCAGUACUUUGUUGUUUGCCAUGUGAAACUUCUCGGAAAAUCUUUGUAAAGAAUAUCUCGAGCCCACACGUGAUUCUCGUUUGCCACGAAAUACUCUGUCAGCAUCGAUGGGUUCUCUCGGGCAGCGACGUUGUUUAGGUUGUCUCCUGCUUUGAACGUGACCAUUUGCAUAUUUUUGAGAUGAAGCGGCAACGGUACGACCGACGGGUGGUUCUCACAUAGCUUGAAGCCGAAUAUCCUCCACAUGGCCUCUGGUGGAGUAACCCACCUUGCAUCAACGAAUCUCUUGAUCUCGUCUAUGUUACCAUCGGCAUCGGACUUCUCAAUAUUGAAUGAAGUUUGAUCGUGGCCCUUGUAUACGUACUUAUAUAGGUACUUGACGGCCUUUAUGCUAGAGCACACCUCCACGUUGAUGUGGCAGUCAAACAUCCGCAAGAGGUACGGGUUGUAAGGCACAACCCAUCUAUUGUCUAGCAUCUGGCCUCGGACCUUCGCACAACGGCCGUCCUUCCGUCUCCGAUAAAUGGGGUAUGAGUCUUUCCCCUGUACGGUGGUCUCGUUGAACGCUCGCGGGUACCUACACUUGCACGACCCAUCUUGCAUGCACACGUUGUUUGGCUUGAGGACACCACAUGGGCCGUGCAUCAUAUGCUUCACGACAAUGGCGUAUAGCUCCGGGUACUUAUUCUUGUCGGGGAGUUCGGCGGAUAUGACGCGGUCGUACUGCUCUGGCACAAUGAGCUUAUAUUUUGAAUCCAUGAUCAACAGAAAAUGGGCGUGUGGGAGGCCCCUCUUCUGGAACUCGACCACAUAGACGUAGGCCUUCACAACGCCCAAGAUAUGCUUCUUGGUCAACAUCUCUUUCAUCGUCUCCAGCUUGGACCUAAACACUCGAACCACAAUGUCUGGUCGGUCCUGCGGUGUUUGUCCUGGAAGUAGUGCAUCCUGUAUCUCCUGCCAAUUUGGGUUGCAGGUCAUCGUCAAGAAGAUGUCAGGCUUGCCGUACGUCUGCACCAACGCCAUGGCGUCCAUAUGCCUGCGCUUCAUGUCUCGGAAGCCACCUUGGAACUUCCAUGGGAGAACAAUCCUUGUCCCAACAGCGCUUGCGCGAGUCUCUCUAGCCGUGAUGCUAUCCACAAUGCCUUUAUAUAGAUCGGCACGUAUCUCUGGCUGGUGCUCCCUGAACCAACUCAACCUACAACCCUCAAUCUUUAUGUACAUGUCAACCGCAAACUGUUGGAAGAGCCGCCCUCCAUGCAGUAUGGGGUUGAAUAUAGCAGGACGCGUCUGUAGUCGGUAACAGUAGUAGUCCCUUACGGAGACGCAUAUAUUGGCACCUCCAUCUGCGUGAAUGACAAUUGAAAGAAAGUUAGGUGAAGUACAAAAAGGAUAGACAAAAAAUGCAGAACUAUCUUGAACAACUGAACCUUCGUCCCCGCGGUUCUCUCUUGAUAGCUGCGCAACGUGCCAAGGCGUAUCACAUUUAGGGAGAUUUGGAUGCCAACCAAGCUCCCCCUUGGGAAAGAAGAGGGGGUACGAGAGCGGGUCAUAGCAUCCUUGUGUGGCAUGUAUACUAUGCCUCUCGUUGUUAUUUCCGUAUAGGGUAAUGCUGCGCUUGAGCCUAUUUGCAAGGUCGCUGCCCUCGACCCAGAUCGCAGCCACCUCGGACGACACUGGUAAAUUGUAUCUCCGUUGGUCUAGCUUCUUGUCGGUGUUCAGUUCUAUACGGUAGUCCUGGAGGUUGUCCUUAUGGGCGCCCAAACUCCUGAACUUCUCAGAGUAGGGGUUUCCUUUUAGUAUGUCCACUACCUUCCGCACGACCUCUUGGUCUAGGUCUUUGGUGGCUUCCUUGCGAUGUACCAGACUUGGAUCGUCGUCGUAGAAGUAGAGUUGUAGAUGUUCUGGGCGAGAGUUUGGCCCGAAUGAAUGCAUGUUGUGGUACAACUUUCCUUGAGCUCGGAAUGUGUACACCCCGGACCUCAUGUUCGUGCAGUCGUUGUCUAGGCUGACGCCAAGAGUUGUGAAUGAGAAGUGGCCGUUGAAGAAUCGUAUGCUCUCCCGAAAAUGUCGAGAGUCCGCAUCUGCGCUAGACCAUAACCUCAUUAGCUCCGGGAUAGGCUGUGGUUCAGCUAGCUUGAUAGUUCCGUUUCGACAACAGAAACCAUCGGUCUCACGCUCAAACUUCUUGGCAUGGCAGUGUUCACAGUUCGGUUCUUGCUUUAGGAUGUGUGUGCUGUUUGGGAGGUUUGAGUACACAAAGUCAAAAUGAUCGAUAGAUUCCGCGCCGGAUGAGUGUAUUGGUGUAUCAAUGUCCAUGUCAUCAGCGUCGUAACCUGCAUAUGCAUAGAAUGUCAUAUCAAAUGUUCAUAUUAACUCGAUAAUAGAGAUGGCUGAUGGAAAUGUUGGCAUAAAUACCUUCACGGGUAUAGCACUCCUCGUCCAUGAGGUCAACGGAGAUGGCAUCCUCGUCCAUGAUACCCCUUAGGAAGGUCUCCAUGUCUCCUACAACAUUAUGGAUUCGGUAAGUAUGGCGCUUUAAUGCGCCAAGAUGUAAAUGAUAAAUGUAGUAAAGAAAUGUAGUAGGUAUGUUACCCUCGGUCCCAAUGGUAUACGCUAGCGUGCUCGUUGAAGGUGAGGCGGGAGCUGAAGUAUUUCCCUCUCUGGCGGGUAAUUUGUGUGUGCUCGUAGUCAUUUUUAUUGUAGGAAAACUUGCUGCAUUUGGGCAUGGCAUCGCGAUUGAUUCAGCGCACGGGGUGUUCCUUCUAGCUUCAGCAGCUGCUCUGCGCUGAGCUAACAAUGCCACCCUCUCCUCUUUAGUUUUGCUUUGUCUAGAUGUGCGUCGUCUUGCAUUCAACUCCUUCUGUUCUUCCGUGGAUUUAUUUUGCCUGCUAGCCCUUUUCCGUAUGUUCCUCUCAUCGAGCGAUUUUUUUUGCUCGGCUGCUCUUCUACGUUCAUUAAUCUCCUUCUUUCUAUCGACUGUCAAACUAUUUCGCCGAGCUCUGUCAUCAUCACGUCUUGCUUGAUUUAUAAACUCCGAAAUAUGUUUUCAAUUGGUUGAUGGUUAGUUGUUCGAUCGUUCUGUAUAUUUUUUUUUGCAAAUGUACUAAUUAUGUAAAUAAAAUAGAGUAUUACCCUUAAACAUGACUUCUGGUUGAUUUGGAGUUCGUAUAUCACCGUUUCCCUUUUUCAUCAUGGAUAUUAUGAGAUCAAUAGCUUUGCCUUGUUCAUCAUCACCGCUGACUGGUUUUUGUAGGGCAUCUUUGUCUUUGUUGGGUGGACACAAUGGAUAGUAUAUGCCUGUCCAUGAAAGUUUGUUAGUUUUAUAAACGACACAUGUUUUUUGAAUGUAUCAGAACUGUAUGAAAUUUAAAAUAUUACCGUUAAUCAUAACUUCUGGGUGUUGUGAUGGUUCUAUGCUAGCGUUGUCGCUACUUAUCACUGCUGUGUCUACUUGUGAUGAUACCGGGUCAGUUUUCCUCUGUUUUGCCGAGAACUCUUCGUUUCGACGAUUUAGCAAUGUUUGUCGUUCUCCCGGUGUCACAUGAUUUCUUUGUCUCACAUUUAAGGUAGAUGUACCACCUUCCUUCUGUGUUGCAAUAUUUUCCGGGUUCACCAUCAUAAUUGAUUCUUUGGUUGUCAUGCUUUGCUUCUUGGCCUCUUUAAUUUUUUUGUUUUGUUGAUAGGUUUCACGGCGUUUUUUCAGUUUUUCCUGCUUUUCUUCAUCUGUCAUCCGUGCAUGCCGGUCUCUAUCUUUUUUCCGUCUUUGUUCCUUGACAUCCAUGGCUUGCCUGCAUGAGAUUUGCAUAGUAAGUAUUUUGUGCAUUUGCUGAGCAGUCAUGAAGCUAAUUAGAUCAUGUACUGCAUUUUAUUUCAUUGACCUUUAUCUUUUGUUGCAGUAAAUAUAUGGUAGUUGCUAUCCAGGAUCAAAGACGGAACAACUAACCGACUACUAAUGCGUCAAGAAAAGCUAAGUAAGCACCCUCCUUGGCAUCUGUAAUGCUUGUCAUGGUUUAAGAUCUGAUGACUACACGAUAUAAUUUUUCAUCUCAGUUCAUCUUUAACCUAUACCGAACAGAAAUAGUACAUCUCAUCUACUUGCUAUUUGGUGCAUGGUGUAGAUGGCGUAAUUACAAUAAAGUACACCCAUGAAAGCAGACAGUAAAUAUAUUUCUUUCUCUCUAUCGCCUGCUAUUUAAUACCAAAGAAUUCUUUGCAGGAUUGCAUUGGCAGAGUCUCAGAUUCUCCGUCUACAAAUGGCAGAUAUCUGGAUUGAGCAAACACAGUCUCAGAUUCUCCGUCAAACACAGUCUCAGAUUCUCGGUCUACAAAUGACGAUAUUAAUUUUUGCGCUUUGUUUCACCAUCUUAGAUUUUUUGUGCUUUGUUUCACCAUAAAAGUAGACCUACGUGCUACAGGGUCACCAUCAUGUAAUGAUAUGUGUUGAAAGAUGGCACAGUACCUUUGGACAGAUGUUGGACAGGUUUGCCACCAACGUGGAGCACAGCUUCUCUGAAACUGAAGAUUCGAUGUGGUCGUGGUUGAAGCUGAAGAUUCGAUGUGGUGCCUGUUGUUUCUCUGAAAACUUGGUGCGUCGCUUGUAUGUUUAUAUAUAGCAGAAGCUUCGAUGUGGUCGUGGUCGAACACGGCCGGCCGGCUGUCUGUGUUCGAUCAGGAGACGGUCAGCGAUGUA